rnacentral:rRNA from 1 species
UACGUAGGGUGCAAGCGUUAAUCGGAAUUACUGGGCGUAAAGCGUGCGCAGGCGGCCAUGCAAGACAGAUGUGAAAUCCCCGGGCUCAACCUGGGAACUGCAUUUGUGACUGCAUGGCUAGAGUACGGUAGAGGGGGAUGGAAUUCCGCGUGUAGCAGUGAAAUGCGUAGAUAUGCGGAGGAACACCGAUGGCGAAGGCAAUCCCCUGGACCUGUACUGACGCUCAUGCACGAAAGCGUGGGGAGCAAACAGG